AGUGAACGCUGGCGGUAUGCCUAACACAUGCAAGUCGAACGGCGGCACAGUAAGAGCUUGCUCUUACGGGUGGCGAGUGGCGGACGGGUGAGGCAUACAUCGGAAUCUACUUUUUCGUGGGGGAUAACGUAGGGAAACUUACGCUAAUACCGCAUACGACCUACGGGUGAAAGCAGGGGAUCUUCGGACCUUUCGCGAUUGAAUGAGCCGAUGUCGGAUUAGCUAGUUGGCGAGGUAAAGGCCCACCAAGGCGACGAUCCGUAGCUGGUCUGAGAGGAUGAUCGGCCACACUGGAACUGAGACACGGUCCAGACUCCUACGGGAGGCAGCAGUGGGGAAUAUUGGACAAUGGGCGAAAGCCUGAUCCAGCAAUGCCGCGUGGGUGAAGAAGGCCUUCGGAUUGUAAAGCCCUUUUGUUGGGAAAGAAAAGAAGCGGAUUAAAACCCGCCUGUUUUGACGGUACCCAAAGAGAAAGCCCCGGCUAACUUCGUG
rnacentral:rRNA from 1 species